rnacentral:rRNA from 1 species
GUGACUGCGUACCUUUUGUAUAAUGGGUCAGCGACUUAUAUUCUGUAGCAAGGUUAACCGUAUAGGGGAGCCGUAGGGAAACCGAGUCUUAACCGGGCGUUAAGUUGCAGGGUAUAGACCCGAAACCCGGUGAUCUAGCCAUGGGCAGGUUGAAGGUUGGGUAACACUAACUGGAGGACCGAACCGACUAAUGUUGAAAAAUUAGCGGAUGACCUGUGGCUGGGGGUGAAAGGCCAAUCAAACCGGGAGAUAGCUGGUUCUCCCCGAAAGCUAUUUAGGUAGCGCCUCGUGAACUCAUCUCCGGGGGUAGAGCACUGUUUCGGCUAGGGGGCCAUCCCGGCUUACCAACCCGAUGCAAACUGCGAAUACCGGAGAAUGUUAUCACGGGAGACACACGGCGGGUGCUAACGUCCGUCGUGAAGAGGGAAACAACCCAGACCGCCAGCUAAGGUCCCAAAGUCAUGGUUAAGUGGGAAACGAUGUGGGAAGGCCCAGACAGCCAGGAUGUUGGCUUAGAAGCAGCCAUCAUUUAAAGAAAGCGUAAUAGCUCACUGGUCGAGUCGGCCUGCGCGGAAGAUGUAACGGGGCUAAACCAUGCACCGAAGCUGCGGCAGCGACACUGUGUGUUGUUGGGUAGGGGAGCGUUCUGUAAGCCUGCGAAGGUGGCCUGUGAGGGUUGCUGGAGGUAUCAGAAGUGCGAAUGCUGACAUAAGUAACGAUAAAGCGGGUGAAAAGCCCGCUCGCCGGAAGACCAAGGGUUCCUGUCCAACGUUAAUCGGGGCAGGGUGAGUCGACCCCUAAGGCGAGGCCGAAAGGCGUAGUCGAUGGGAAACGGGUUAAUAUUCCCGUACUUGGUGUUACUGCGAAGGGGGGACGGAGAAGGCUAUGUUGGCCGGGCGACGGUUGUCCCGGUUUAAGCGUGUAGG